AUGGGGCGAAGCAUACCAAAUCCUAUUUGGUGUCAGAUAUGGAAGUUAGCCUGCCCAGCAAAGGUAAAAAAAAUUAUAUGGCGUAUAUUACAUGGCACUCUCCCAUGCCGGGUAACACUCGCUAAUAGACACAUGAAGGUCUCGCCCUCUUGCCCGACUUGCUCUCGGGGUUUAGAAGAUACGAAACACAUGCUUUUCCUCUGUAGUAAAGCAAAGGAGGUUUGGAAGAGACUAGGGAUGGAUGUGAUAAUUGAUAAAGCUUGUGAGAUUGAUCUUGCCGGGGAGGCAAUAUUGGAAUACCUUUUACUUCUUCCAGACCAAGACUUGAGUAUUAUGGGGUACCAAAAUGUACGUGAAAUGAUAGCUAUUUCAGCUUGGUACCUA
rnacentral:rRNA from 1 species